UACGUAGGGUGCGAGCGUUAAUCGGAAUUACUGGGCGUAAAGCGUGCGCAGGCGGUUCGUGAAGUCCGAUGUGAAAGCCCUGGGCUUAACCUAGGAAUGGCAUUGGAAACUGGCGGGCUAGAGUGCGGCAGAGGGGGGUGGAAUUCCUGGUGUAGCAGUGAAAUGCGUAGAUAUCAGGAGGAAUACCGAUGGCGAAGGCAGGUCUCUGGGCUGACACUGACGCUCAUGCACGAAAGCGUGGGGAGCAAACAGG
rnacentral:rRNA from 1 species